GGAUGAACGCUGGCGGCGUGCUUAACACAUGCAAGUCGAACGGAAAGGCUCCUGCUUGCAGGGGUACUCGAGUGGCGAACGGGUGAGUAACACGUGGGUGAUCUGCCCUGCACUUCGGGAUAAGCCUGGGAAACUGGGUCUAAUACCGGAUAGGACCACAUUUUGGAUGGUGUGGUGGAAAGUUUUUCGGUGUGGGAUGAGCUCGCGGCCUAUCAGCUUGUUGGUGGGGUAAUGGCCUACCAAGGCGUCGACGGGUAGCCGGCCUGAGAGGGUGUACGGCCACAUUGGGACUGAGAUACGGCCCAGACUCCUACGGGAGGCAGCAGUGGGGAAUAUUGCACAAUGGGCGCAAGCCUGAUGCAGCGACGCCGCGUGGGGGAUGACGGCCUUCGGGUUGUAAACUCCUUUCGCUAGGGACGAAGCGCAAGUGACGGUACCUGGAGAAGAAGCACCGGCUAACUACGUG
rnacentral:rRNA from 1 species